rnacentral:rRNA from 1 species
CAGCAGCCGCGGGAAUACGAAGUGGGCUAGCGUUGCUCGGAAUGACUGGGCGUAAAGGGCGCGUAGGCGGUUUUCCAAGUUAGAUGUGAAAUUCCUGGGCUCAACCUGGGGGCUGCAUUUGAUACUGGGAGGCUUGAGUAUGGAAGAGGGUCGUGGAAUUCCCAGUGUAGAGGUGAAAUUCGUAGAUAUUGGGAAGAACACCGGUGGCGAAGGCGGCGACCUGGUCCAUAACUGACGCUGAGGCGCGAAAGCGUGGGGAGCAAACAGGAUUAGAUACCCCCGUAGUCCCUGUCUCUUAUAC